ACCUGCCCCCAUGUUCAGAGGAAGACCACUUGCAAUACCUGGUUGGACAGCCUUCUUCAUUGGGAUUAAAACCCUGCUGUGUUAGCAUCCUCAUGAGGGACGUAGCAGAAGUCAAGAUCUAGAGUUUACCCUUGGAAGGAUGGAAUUUACAUACAGGAGAAAGAAUCCAGCAGAAGCCACCCUGAGUGAUAGAGGAUAUGCUAAACCGGUGUGAACCUUCUUUGCUACUUGAGGUGAGAGUGAAUGGAAUGGACAGCUGAUCUAUCCGUGGGAUUUCAGAUUCUCUCAGAGGGAAAAUUAAUUGAAAUACAAAAUGGAAGAGCUAAAGAAAACAAACAAACUACAGUGGGUCCCUCAGGUUCUUCCAUUUUGGCCAAAGCUGUUUCCGCUGAUGAAUAAGAGCCGCCUGCUUGCUCCAUGCUAUGGCUGCUGCUCGCUGCAGUGGAUGUCUUUGCUUAAGGAAUGUCUCAAGAAAAACAAACUGUGCUUGUAAGUUGUGAAUUCCAGAAAAGAGAUGAGGUGAAUUCUCCCUCCCCUCUCCUCCCCUCCUCUCCUCUCCUCUUUCC